rnacentral:tRNA from 1 species
GUUUAAGUAAUUUAUAUAAAAUACUUAUUUGUGGGGUAAGAAAUGUUUUUAACCUUUAAACA